ACGGAAGGCAGCAGUGGGGAAUAUUGCACAAUGGGCGCAAGCCUGAUGCAGCGACGCCGCGUGAGCGAAGAAGUAUUUCGGUAUGUAAAGCUCUAUCAGCAGGGAAGAAAAUGACGGUACCUGACUAAGAAGCUCCGGCUAAAUACGUGCCAGCAGCCGCGGUAAUACGUAUGGAGCAAGCGUUAUCCGGAUUUACUGGGUGUAAAGGGAGCGUAGACGGAACAGCAAGUCUGAUGUGAAAGGCAGGGGCUCAACUCCUGGACUGCAUUGGAAACUGUUGAUCUUGAGUGCAGGAGAGGUAAGCGGAAUUCCUAGUGUAGCGGUGAAAUGCGUAGAUAUUAGGAGGAACACCAGUGGCGAAGGCGGCUUACUGGACGGUAACUGACGUUGAGGCUCGAAAGCGUGGGGAGCAAACAGGAUUAGAUACCCUGGUA
rnacentral:rRNA from 1 species